UACGUAGGGUGCGAGCGUUGUCCGGAAUUACUGGGCGUAAAGAGCUCGUAGGUGGUUUGUCGCGUUGUUCGUGAAAACUCACAGCUUAACUGUGGCGUGCGGGCGAUACGGGCAGACUGGAGUACUGCAGGGGAGACUGGAAUUCCGUGGUGUAGCGGUGGAAUGCGCAGAUAUCAGGAGGAACACCGGUGGCGAAGGCGGGUCUCUGGGCAG
rnacentral:rRNA from 1 species